GAAUUGGGAUGGUUGAGUAUCUCGCCUCUCAGUUCUGCCUGUAUUCUACCCUUGUUUGUCAUAUACUAUUAUUUCCUCGGCAGGCUUGCUUGCCGAGUGAAAACAUUUAUAACCUUUUUAAUUUUCAAUCAGCGUCUGAAAAAAUUAAUAAUUACAACUUUCAACAACGGAUCUCUUGGUUCUGGCAUCGAUGAAGAACGCAGCGAAAUGCGAUAAGUAGUGUGAAUUGCAGAAUUCAGUGAAUCAUCGAAUCUUUGAACGCACAUUGCGCCCCUUGGUAUUCCAUGGGGCAUGCCUGUUCGAGCGUCAUUUGUACCUUCAAGCUUUGCUUGGUGUUGGGUGUUUGUCCCGAGGGACUCGCCUUAAAGUAAUUGGCAGCCAGUGUUUGGUUUUGAAGCGCAGCACAAGUCGCGAUUCAAGGCUACACGCCCGCUUCCACAAGCCUUUUUUCACUUUUGACCUCGGAUCAGGUAGGGAUACCCGCUGAACUUAAGCAUAUCAAUAAG
rnacentral:rRNA from 1 species